rnacentral:rRNA from 1 species
UACGGAGGGUGCAAGCGUUAUCCGGAUUUAUUAGGUUUAAAGGGUGCGUAGGCGGAAGCUUAAGUCAGUGGUAAAAGGCAGUAGCUUAACUAUUGUAAGCCAUUGAAACUGGGUUUCUUGAGUUCGGUAGAGGUAGGCGGAAUGUGUUGUGUAGCGGUGAAAUGCAUAGAUAUAACACAGAACACCGAUUGCGAAGGCAGCUUACUAUGCCGUUACUGACGCUAAGGCACGAAAGCGUGGGUAUCAAACAGG